rnacentral:rRNA from 1 species
GCCCUUAUGGGUAGGGCUUCACACGUCAUACAAUGGUCGGAACAGAGGGUCGCCAACCCGCGAGGGGGAGCCAAUCCCAGAAAACCGAUCGUAGUCCGGAUCGCAGUCUGCAACUCGACUGCGUGAAGUCGGAAUCGCUAGUAAUCGCGAAUCAGAAUGUCGCGGUGAAUACGUUCCCGGGUCUUGUACACACCGCCCGUCACACCAUGGGAG